rnacentral:tRNA from 1 species
GCCGAAGUAGCUCAGCUGGUCUAGAGCGCCACUUUUGUAAAGUGGAUGUCGUGGAUUCGAAUUCCACCUUCGGCUCCA